rnacentral:rRNA from 1 species
AGAACGAACGCUGGCGGCAUGCCUAAUACAUGCAAGUCGAACGAGAUCUUCGGGUCUAGUGGCGCACGGGUGCGUAACGCGUGGGAAUCUACCCUUGGGUUCGGAAUAACAGUUGGAAACGACUGCUAAUACCGGAUGAUGACGAAAGUCCAAAGAUUUAUCGCCCAAGGAUGAGCCCGCGUAGGAUUAGCUAGUUGGUGAGUAAAGGCUCACCAAGGCAACGAUCCUUAGCUGGUCUGAGAGGAUGAUCAGCCACACUGGGACUGAGACACGGCCCAGACUCCUACGGGAGGCAGCAGUAGGGAAUAUUGGACAAUGGGCGAAAAGCC